GACGAACGCUGGCGGCGUGCCUAAUACAUGCAAGUCGAGCGAAGUUUUUCUGGUGCUUGCACUAGAAAAACUUAGCGGCGAACGGGUGAGUAACACGUAAAGAACCUGCCUCAUAGACUGGGACAACUAUUGGAAACGAUAGCUAAUACCGGAUAACAGUAUUUCUCGCAUGGGAGAUAUUUAAAAGUUGGUUAUGCUAACACUAUGAGAUGGCUUUGCGGUGCAUUAGCUAGUUGGUGGGGUAAAGGCCCACCAAGGCGACGAUGCAUAGCCGACCUGAGAGGGUGAUCGGCCACACUGGGACUGAGACACGACCCAGACUCCUACGGGAGGCAGCAGUAGGGAAUCUUCCGCAAUGGGCGAAAGCCUGACGGAGCAACGCCGCGUGAGUGAAGAAGGAUUUCGGUUCGUAAAGCUCUGUUGUUAGGGAAGAAUGGAUAUGUAGUAACUAUACAUGUAAGAGACGGUACCUAACCAGAAAGCCACGGCUAACUACGUG
rnacentral:rRNA from 1 species